AUGGCCAGAUCACAUUGAAACACUGCUUCUCAUAUGAUCAUUGAAGUUAAGCAACAUCGAACCUGGUCAGUACCUAGAUGGGUAAUUGCUUGGGAAUACCAGAUGUUGUAA